rnacentral:rRNA from 1 species
UAGAAAUUUAAAACUGUUUUCAUCAAGGUUUGUUUAUUCUUUAAAAUAAGUAUUAAUUAAUACCUCAUACAAAAAGUAGAGGAUAAUAUUAUAUAAAUUAAUGUAGUUAUAGUUAAUUAAAUUAACUGGAUAAUUGUGUGCCAGCACCUGCGGUCAUACACAAGGAGAUACUAUUUAUCUCUACAAUACUUAAAUUAAAUAGUAAUUAAAUUAUUUUAAUUAAUGGUUUAAUAAAUUAAUUAAAUUUUAACUAUAAUGAACGUAAAUAAUCUGAUAGUAUAAACCAGGAUUAGAUACCCUGCUAUUACAGAAUAAUAAACAUUUGUCAAAAGUACUUUCUCGAAGGGAAAUUAAAAUAUCAUGGCAGUUGGAAAUUCUUUUUAGAUGAACAUGUUUUAUGAAAUAGAUUCUACCCAAAAAAUAUCACUCAAUUUUGUAAUUUCACUUUUCCCACCGCCGUUAAUGUAUGUAAUAAAUUACUUUCAUAAAAUAAAUUAAUAUAAACUUUAAUCUAAAAAAAUCAGGUAAAGGUGAAGGUGAUAAUUGAGGUAAAAUGUGUUACAGUUUCUUUAUUAUUAGAAAUAUGUUUGAAAAGAAUAUUAAAAGAGAAUUUAACAGUAAUAAAAUUUAAUAAAAAAUUUAUGAAUUUUGAUCCUUCCUUUGCACAAAUCGCCCGUCGUCCUGGUGUUAUAAUCUAGGUAAGUCGAAACAUAGUAGAAGUACUGGAAGGUGCUUCUAUUUUUUUCUCAUACUACUAUAAACUCCAAG